CUGGAGGAUGAUGAGUUGCACUAAGGGGGUCUGCAGUGCUGUGUACUGUAGUACUCCCCAGACUUGUUGUGUUGACACAGCCAUGUGCACAGGGGCCAGCUGACUCCAU